rnacentral:rRNA from 1 species
AUACGUAGGUGGCAAGCGUUGUCCGGAAUUAUUGGGCGUAAAGCGCGCGCAGGUGGUUUCUUAAGUCUGAUGUGAAAGCCCACGGCUUAACCGUGGAGGGUCAUUGGAAACUGGGAGACUUGAGUGCAGAAGAGGAAAGUGGAAUUCCAAGUGUAGCGGUGAAAUGCGUAGAGAUUUGGAGGAACACCAGUGGCGAAGGCGACUUUCUGGUCUGCAACUGACGCUGAGGCGCGAAAGCAUGGGGAGCAAACAGGAUUAGAUACCCUGGUAGUCCAUGCUGUAAACGAUGAGUGCUAAGUGUUAGGGGGUUUCCGCCCCUUAGUGCUGCAGCUAACGCAUUAAGCACUCCGCCUGGGGAGUACGACCGCAAGGUUGAA